rnacentral:rRNA from 1 species
GAUGAACGCUGGCGGCGUGCCUAAUACAUGCAAGUCGAGCGAACAGACGAGGAGCUUGCUCCUCUGACGUUGGCGGCGGACGGGUGAGUAACACGUGGAUAACCUACCUAUAAGACUGGGAUAACUUCGGGAAACCGGAGCUAAUACCGGAGAAUAUAUUGAACCGCAUGGGUCAAUAGUGAAAGACGGCUUUGCGGUCACUUAUAGAUGGAUCCGCGCCGCAUUAGCUAGUUGGGAAGGUAACGGCUUACCAAGGCAACGAUGCGUAGCCGACCUGAGAGGGUGAUAGGCCACCCUGGAGCGGGACCACGGUCCAGACUCCUGCGAGAGGCCGCAGUAGGGAAUCUUACGCAGUGGGCGAGAGCCUGACGGAGCAACGCCGCGUGAGUGAUGGAGGUCUUCGGAUCGUAAAACUCUGUUAUUAGGUGAGAACCAAUGUGUAAGUAACUAUGCACGUCUUGACGGUACCUAAUCAGAAAGCCACGGCUAACUACGUG